rnacentral:sRNA from 1 species
GCUUAGCCCUGAUCGAAACGGCAUCCUUUUAUCCGCCGCGGCGGAUAAAAGAUAUAGUGUAGAGCAGGAAAAGAA